rnacentral:rRNA from 1 species
CAGCCGCCACGGGAAUACGAAGGGGGCUAGCGUUGCUCGGAAUGACUGGGCGUAAAGGGCGCGUAGGCGGCGAUCAAAGUCAGGCGUGAAAUUCCUGGGCUCAACCUGGGGGCUGCGCUUGAUACUUGGUUGCUUGAGUGGGGAAGAGGGUCGUGGAAUUCCCAGUGUAGAGGUGAAAUUCGUAGAUAUUGGGAAGAACACCGGUGGCGAAGGCGGCGACCUGGUCCUUGACUGACGCUGAGGCGCGAAAGCGUGGGGAGCAAACAGGAUUAGAUACCCCCGUAGUCCCUGUCUCUUAUAU